rnacentral:rRNA from 1 species
UGGGGAAUAUUGCACAAUGGGGGAAAGCCCUGAUGCAGCGACGCCGCGUGAAGGAAGAAGUAUUUCGGUAUGUAAACUUCUAUCAGCAGGGAAGAAAAUGACGGUACCUGACUAAGAAGCCCCGGCUAACUACGUGCCAGCAGCCGCGGUAAUACGUAGGGGGCAAGCGUUAUCCGGAUUUACUGGGUGUAAAGGGAGCGUAGACGGAUCUGCAAGUCUGGAGUGAAAGCCCGGGGCUCAACCCCGGGCAGCUGCAUUGGAAACUGUCAGUCUUGAGUGCCGGAGAGGUAAGCGGAAUUCCUAGUGUAGCGGUGAAAUGCGUAGAUAUUAGGAGGAACACCAGUGGCGAAGGCGGCUUACUGGACGGUAACUGACGUUGAGGCUCGAAGGCGUGGGGAGCAAACAGGAUUAGAUACC